AUUGAACGCUGGCGGCAGGCUUAACACAUGCAAGUCGAGCGGAGAUGAGAUGCUUGCACCUUAUCUUAGCGGCGGACGGGUGAGUAAUGCUUAGGAAUCUGCCAUUUAGUGGGGGACAACAUUCCGAAAGGAAUGCUAAUACCGCAUACGUCCUACGGGAGAAGGCAGGGGAUCUUCGGACCUUGCGCUAAAUGAUGAGCCUAAGUCGGAUUAGCUAGUUGGUGGGGUAAAGGCCUACCAAGGCGACGAUCUGUAGCGGGUCUGAGAGGAUGAUCCGCCACACUGGGACUGAGACCCGGCCCAGACUCCUACGGGAGGCAGCAGUGGGGAAUAUUGGACAAUGGGCGGAAGCCUGAUCCAGCCAUGCCGCGUGUGUGAAGAAGGCCUUUUGGUUGUAAAGCACUUUAAGCGAGGAGGAGGCUACUAGUACUAAUACUACUGGAUAGUGGACGUUACUCGCAGAAUAAGCACCGGCUAACUCCGUGCCAGCCGCCGCCGUAACAC
rnacentral:rRNA from 1 species